rnacentral:rRNA from 1 species
AUUGAACGCUGGCGGAAUGCUUUACACAUGCAAGUCGAACGGUAGAGGGGGCAACCCCUCGAGAGUGGCGAACGGGUGAGUAAUAUAUCGGAACGUGCCCAGUCGUGGGGGAUAACGUAGCGAAAGUUACGCUAAUACCGCAUACGAUCUAAGGAUGAAAGCGGGGGAUCGCAAGACCUCGCGCGAUUGGAGCGGCCGAUAUCAGAUUAGGUAGUUGGUGGGGUAAAGGCCCACCAAGCCAACGAUCUGUAGCUGGUCUGAGAGGACGACCAGCCACACUGGAACUGGGACACGGCCCAGACUCCUACGGGAGGCAGCAGUGGGGAAUUUUGGACAAUGGACGCAAGUCUGAUCCAGCAAUGCCGCGUGCAGGACGAAGGCCUUCGGGUUGUAAACUGCUUUUGUACGGAACGAAACGGUGAGCUCUAAUACAGUUUGCUAAUGACGGUACCGUAAGAAUAAGCACCGGCUAACUACGUGCCAGCCGCCGCCGUAA